GAAACGAUUGCUAAUACCGAAUAAAAUGUAAGAGUCAAUUUUACAUUGAAAGGAGCCUUUAAAGCUUCGCGAUUAGAUGGGCCUGCGGCGUAUUAACUAGUUGGUGAGGUAAUGGCUUACCAAGGUGACGAUGCGUAGCCGAACUGAGAGGUUGAUCGGCCACAUUGGGACUGAGACACGGCCCAAACUCCUACGGGAGACAGCAGUUAGGAAUAUUCGUCAAUGGAGGAAACUCUGAACGAGCAAUGCCGCGUGAGUGAUGAAGGUCUUAUAGAUUGUAAAACUCUGUUGUAUGGAAAAAACGACUAGGUUAGGAAAUGAACUUAGUGUGAUGGUACCAUACCAGAAAGCCCCGGCUAACUACGUGCCAGCAGCCGCGGUAAUACGUAGGGGGCGAGCGUUAUCCGGAUUUAUUGGGCGUAAAGCGUGUGUAGGCGGUUUAUUAAGUUUAAGAUUAAAGCCCGGGGCUCAACUCCGGUAAGUCUUAAAAACUGGUAGACUUGAGUACGGUAGAGGCAAACGGAAUUUCUAGUGUAGCGGUGAAAUGCGUAGAUAUUAGAAGGAACACCAGUGGCGAAAGCGGUUUGCUGGGCCGUUACUGACGCUGAGGCACGAAAGCGUGGGGAGCAAAUAGGAUUAGAUACCCUAGUAGUCCACGCCGUAAACGAUGAGUACUAAGUGUUGGG
rnacentral:rRNA from 1 species